CCCCUUCCACCGGUUCUGAUCUCACUCGGGAUGCUUGUGCCCCAGCAUCUGAGCCAGUUCCUAAAACGGGUCCUCGUGGUUUCCGCCAGAGGAUGGUUCUCUGGCGCCUCUGCUCCCCCACCCUCCUCUUUGGGCUGAAGUGGCUGCUGAGCCUCGGAGUGCUCUUGGAGGCCUCACAAGUGCCAGCGGCGCGGCUUUCUACUUCCCCGGCUAGGCCCCAGUCAGUUUCGGCGAGGUGGCCUGAGAGACCGCAUCCUGUCAGACUCUCACUGUGUAGUUCAGGCUGACCUUGAACUCACUCUGCACUCCAGGCUGGCUGCAAACUUGUGGUGAUUCUCCUGCCUCAAACUUCCAAGUGCUGGAAACACACGCAUGUACCUCUAUGCCCAGGAACUUGCUAUGUAGUUCAGGCUGGCCUUCAACUCACUAUAUAAUCCAGCCUAUGGAGAUCCUCCUGCCUCAGCCUCUCCAGUGUUGCAUUAUAGAUAAGGUCUCACUGUGUACUCCAGGCUGGCCUCGGACUCUUGGCAAUCCUGCCUCAGCCUCCUGAGCCCUGGGAUUAUAGGUGUGUACCACCACAUCCAGCCUUUGAUUUUUAUUUCAAAGAAAGGGUCUCUAUGCAGUUCAGGCUGGCCUUGAACUCACUUUGUAGCCCAGGCUGGUCUCGAACUUGCAACGAUCCUCCUGCCUCAGCCUCCAAGUGCUGCGAUUACAGGCGUGAGCCACCACACCCGAUCACUUAUGUGAUUUUUAUAUGCAAAUUUACUGACAGUUUUGACUUCCAUCAAUCAAGAUGUCAGAAAGCAAAGACCUUCUGAAAAUCUUGGGCAAAUACUAUCUGGAGAAUGGAUAAUAUCAUCUCCUUAUAAGAUGGUGUGAGUGUGACCUUUGUGGUGUAGGGAACUCUACAGGAUGUUGAAUACUGCAGAAAACCGACCAUACUGCUGGCCCUUAGAGAAGAACUUGAAAAUGCAUGUGCAGUAAUCUCAGUGACCAAGGUUACCUGAGCAGCAGUUCGUCAUGCUGGUAAAUGUCUGGAGACUCAUGGCCAUCACUUUGAGCAUGUCUUGGAAGUGCAGAAACCAAGGAUAUUGCUGGGUAGUGCAGGCUGGCCUUGAGGAACUCACUUGCAGGCUGGCCUCCAACCUGAGACAGUCCUCCUGCUUCAGCCUCAGAAGAGCUAGGAAUAAGAAAGAAAGGGAAGAAAAGUGCUCUAAAGGAUAUAACGGGUUUCAUUAUGUGGUUCAGGCUGGUCUUGAACCCACUAUGUAGAACAAGAUGACCUCCAACUGGCAGCAGUGCUCCUGCCUCAUCCUCCCCAGUGCUGGAAUUACAGGCAUGCACCAGCACACCCAGAUGUGUCAUUUUACAGGUCUACCUGCAGUGGGGUGGCUCUCAGUUCCAACAUGGCGGAAUCUCAGGAGAUGCUGGCUGGUUCUCUCCCUGGGGCGCCCGCCACUCAAACCAUGCUGGUUAUCAAGGAGAAUCUGUGUGUAGCUCAGGCUGGUCAUGAUCUCACUACCCCAGGCUGGCUUUGAACUGUGGUGAUCCUCCUGCCUCAGCUUCCCAGUGCUGGGACUAUAGAUAUGUACCACCAUGCCUGGCUCGAAUUGGCUUUUCUGAAGAGAGGAAUGAAAACUGGAAGGAUCUCAUUAUGUAGUUUUUCUGAACCCAUUAUGCAACCCAAGCUGGCCUUGAAUUCAUGGCAAUCCUUCUGCAUCAGUCUCCUGAGUGCUGGGAUCACAGAAAAGAUGAGAAAAGCACUGCACAACAGGAUUUCCAGUUGAUUAUUAAAUUGCCCAACGGUGACAUUGAAAGAUGCCUGUGUUAUUAGUGUAUCUUGUUUUCACCUUUCAGUUCCUCUAUCCCAGCCUGUGUCAUGUGAUCGCCAUGAUCUCCAGAUUACCAAUGGGACUACUCAUAUCAUCAAUACUUCUGGGCAAACAGAGAGUAAAAUUUUUCUUCUAUCUGCUGCAAGAGGGUCUCCACCACUGAGGUGAGGUCUUAUAUAGUCUUGGCUCCCACUUGGCUGCAAAGUCUCCCACAGUCAGCUACACUUCUGUUUGUUCAUGCCAACAUUCCCAUUACUGCUUCUCCUAAUUUUAUUUUAAGCAACAACUACAAUUAUAUUUAUUUGUGGUGUACAGCAUGACGUUUUGCUGUAUGCGUACACUAGAUUGUGGAAUGACUAAAUCAAGUUACUCUAUUUUCUUUAUGUACGCAUUCACUUGACAUAGCUUUAUCUAUCCUUUCAUCUUUCACAUUUCAUAAUUUCUUUUUCUUUUUUUUGUCUUUAUCAUUUUUAUCGGUACCAGGGAUCGAACUCACGACCGCCUGCUUGCAAGGCAGGUGCUUAUGCCGCUGAGCUAAAUCCCUAGCCCCUCAUAAUUUCUUUUGAGAUAGGAGAGUAGGGCAUGGCAAAGUUAGCUGAUGAAGUGGGUGUGAUCUGUUAGUUACAAGAUCUUGGACACAUGUGCAGAACAAUUCCCAAAGUCUUGCAUGUGGACUUCCUGAGACAACUCAAGCAAGGUUUCAAUAGGGUGGUCUACAGGUCAGCCUGAGGCAUGGGAUCCCAGCACAACCUCUAAGGCCCAGUUAUGUAGACAUUGUCCUCGGGAUCUGGACAGUAGAAAAGGAGAGCCCAGCAGUGAAGAGCAUGCUAUAGUAACUCCACGAUAGUGCACGCUGUGUUUCCCAGAUACAGUGUACUUUUAUUCCUGUUUUCACCCUCUUUUUCUUUUUCACUCAACCUAAACUCACGCUGCAGGGGCAGUUUCUCCCACACUCUUCACUUUUACUUCCUGGAAUAAUUUUUGUUACAGAUUAGAGAAGAAUCUGGAAUCUAACUCCAGAAAGAGUGACACACAACCAAGAAUAUGGUGGUAUGUAAUUGUUGGGCCACUUUCAAAAGCUUUGGGAAGUGUUUUGUAUGACAAUGUUAAGUUUUUGUUUGUGAUAUCUCUUAAUAAGUCCUUACCUAAGUGAUAUAACUCUGGCCUGCAAAUUCGCAGAGGUUUUCAUUGUAGCCUUCCCAUGUGGAGAAGGCUGCACAUGAAGAUUGAAUGGACUAAUGUGUAUUUAGUAAAGCACUAUGUAUAGGGAGCCUUCAAUAAAUAUUAGUUAAUAUGUAACCCAAGACUCCAGUCCUCAGAGAGUGAGUGUAAAUGGGUCUCCUCCAUGGGGCCACCAGAACUGAAGGGAAGCUCGAAGCAUCAGCAGGUGUCCUCAGCGCAGUAGCAUUACCGGUGCCUCACUCAGCUGCCCUCUUGGCUCCCAGAGUUCCCUUAGAGUUUGGCAGGAUCUGUUAAUAGGAACUAAAAUAAGAAUAGACAAUGAACCAGGACUUUGGACCAAAGUGAUUUCCUCAGGCAACAUGGAAUACAGUCCACUCCCUCCUAAAGGCAGUUGCUGGCCGUACAAAACUCGUGAGGUUUAAGGAACAUAAAAUGCAAAAUAACCAGUUUUUCUCUCUAAAACCCCAUUUCCUUUAAACUAGGUUGGAAGCUGGGUGUAGUAGCACACACCUGUAAUCCCAGCGCUUGGGAGGCUGAGGCAGGAGGAUGGCCGUGAGUUUGAGACCACCCUGGGCUACAAAGUGAGUUCAAGCCCAGCCUGAACUGCAGAGUGAGACCUUGUUUCAAAAAAGACAAAGCAAAAUAAAAUAAAUAAACAAAAAUAAACUGGAUUAGAGAGCUUAAAUUCCAUUUUGUCAUUUUAAAUCCACAGAGCCACCCAUGAUAGGUGGCUACUGGACAACUGAGAAAUUCCUGUGCUCUGCUUAUCUGUAAGUGACUCUGGAUCGAGAGACCAAGCAGCCACCAAUUUAGGACCCUCCUGGAAACCCAGGAGUUGUUGGUCUUCUUCUUUCCAGUAAAACUGUCUUAACUUCAUAUAAAAUUUGGUGAUAGUUGCUUACUUUCUUGCUGGCUCUUGUUGCUUUUCAGGAGAUGUAUGUGUUAAGUUUUCUUUACCAUUUGUAAUUUUCAUCAGCAGAUUUGGCACACCUAAGAUUGGAACUGGGCUUAAAAAUAUAAUUUAAAUAUCCUGUAGUGGUGCUAGAUUUUGGAGUCUUCUCCUGGAGAUGGUUUUGUUGGGGUACAAUUAUAGUGUAAGAACACAUUUAUUAAAUAUUGCAAACUUACAGGUAUUUCAUAGAGAGCAAUUAGAAGUCUCUGAUCAAGCUUCUGCUUCUACUGGAUUGAAUUGACUCUUGACAGUGUCUAAAGCCCAGCUGUAUAUCUCUGAUAAGCACUGAGUCACAGUAGUUAUCUCUCCCUUAAAGUACCCUGGGCUAGUCAAGGACACUUUUAACUAUGCUCACUCUGUAAGGGCCCCCUCCCCUUGUUCCUGGAGGAUUUCUAUAUUGUGAUAAACAAUUCCUUUGUUUCAACAAAUCAAGACUAGCUUGUCUGUCAAUAUAAGACUCAAUGCAUGUAACCAAUUACACAAUAUUUUGUCACUUGCUUUGUAGCUCCUACUUCUAAAUUCUGUGUAAAUGAAGCUCUCUGUAAACUCAGGCCUGUUGCCUUUGGGAACCAUCUUGCGACAGUCUGCUGGCAUAAAGAUUCAACAGUC